rnacentral:rRNA from 1 species
UGAGGAAUAUUGGACAAUGGGCGCAAGCCUGAUCCGGCCAUGCCGCGUGCAGGAUGACGGUCCUAUGGAUUGUAAACUGCUUUUGUACAGGAAGAAACAGUUCUACGUGUAGAACCUUGACGGUACUGUAAGAAUAAGGAUCGGCUAACUCCGUGCCAGCAGCCGCGGUAAUACGGAGGAUCCAAGCGUUAUCCGGAAUCAUUGGGUUUAAAGGGUCCGUAGGCGGUUAGAUAAGUCAGUGGUGAAAGCCCAUCGCUCAACGGUGGAACGGCCAUUGAUACUGUCUGACUUGAAUUAUUAGGAAGUAACUAGAAUAUGUAGUGUAGCGGUGAAAUGCUUAGAGAUUACAUGGAAUACCAAUUGCGAAGGCAGGUUACUACUAAUGGAUUGACGCUGAUGGACGAAAGCGUGGGUAGCGAACAGGAUUAGAUACCCCCGUAGUCCCUGAGCGGGCUGGCAAGGCGCAU